AUUGAACGCUAGCGGCAGGCCUAACACAUGCAAGUCGAACGAGUGGCGGACGGGUGAGUAAUGUCUCGGAAACUGCCCGGUGGAGGGGGAUAACUACUGGAAACGGUAGCUAAUACCGCAUACCAUCAGAUGUGCCCAGAUGGGAUUAGCUAGUUGGUGGGGUAAAGGCUCACCAAGGCGAAGAUCCCUAGCUGGUCUGAGAGGAGGACCAGCCACACGGGAACUAGGACACGGCCCAGACUCCUACGGAAGGCAGCAGUGGGGAAUAUUGAACAAUGGGGGAAAGCCUGAUGCAGCCAUGCCGCGUGUAUGAGGAAGGCCUUCGGGUUGUAAGGUACUUUCAGCGGGGAGGCGUUACCAGCAGAAGAAGCACCGGCUAACUCCGUGCCAGCAGCCGCGGUAAUUC
rnacentral:rRNA from 1 species